rnacentral:tRNA from 1 species
GGUCCACGAGCUCCCCGGUCGAGCGCCUGCAUGACACGCAGGAGGUACGAGGUUCGAUUCCUCGAUGGACCA